rnacentral:rRNA from 1 species
AUGGAGAAGAGGAAGAAGGCGGAGGAGGACGAGGAGCAGAAGCAGCCGCCGGCGGCGGAGAGCCCCUGGGGGGGCGACCUGCUCCCAGAGAUCCUCCGGGAGAUCCUGUCGCGGGUGCCGUACCGGUCGCUGUGCCGCUUCAGGUGCGUGUCCACCGCAUGGCUGGCGCUCUGCUCCGACCCGGCCGUCCGCAGGAGGUCGCCGCAGACGCUCUCCGGCUUCUUCUGCUACUCCCAGCACGACGUCGGCGGCGGCCAGCGCCGCGACGCCCUCGGCUUCCUCAACCUGUCCGGGUGGGGCCGGCCGCUGGUCGACGACCCCUCCCUCCGCUUCGUGCGCGUGCGCGGCUACUGCGACGUCACGCCCCUGCACUGCUGCGGCGGCAUCCUCCUCUGCUACUGCGAGAAGGCGGCCAUGAGCGACGACGGCAACUACGUCGUGUGCAACCCCGCCACCAAGGAGGUCUGGGCCGUGCUGCCCGUGCCCCGAAACAAGAUCAUGACGCGCCUCAACACCGCCCGCCUCUGCUUCGACCCCGCCGCCCCCAGCCGAUUCGUGGUGUUCGUGUUCGUGCAAAGCUUUCGUGGGAUUCAGACCGUGGAGGCCUAUGCCUCGGACACCGGGCGGUGGACCUCCAUGCGGAGCGAGUGGAGCCCCAAGACCCUCCUCCUCGGCGAGGAUUCAGAAUGCGUCUUCUUGAACGGCACUUUGCAUCUGGUCGACGCCGACCAUUCUGAUGCCGAUUUUGACUGGGAGGGGAACCUGAUUCGCUGGAUGGUGACUGUGGACAUGGAGGGUAAAACAUGGAGGAAGAUCCGGUUGCCGGAUUCCAUCUAUAAUGGUUUCAUCGGGCAGUCGCAAGGACGCCUAUACGCAACGCAUGUUGAAACUGAAGGUAGAUGCCGGCUAUCCGUUUGGGUUCUUGAGGAUUAUGCCAGCGGACAAUGGACCCUCAAGUGUACCGCCAGCAUUUUAGAAAUGCUAGGAAGGCCUCACCAUGAGCCCGGCGAACACUACACGCUGAUCGCGAUCCAUCCAGAGUGCAGUUUGAUCUUCCUAGUAGGCGCAGCGAGCCGUGAAAAAACACUCAUGUCGUACGAUAUGGAUACCAGUAAACUGAGUAUUAUCUGCACUCUCGGAGACCGCCAGCCACGAAGAUUUCAGCCAUACGUUCCCUGUUUUGCGGAGAAGCCUCGGUAA